rnacentral:rRNA from 1 species
AACGAACGCUGGCGGCAUGCCUAACACAUGCAAGUCGAACGAGACCUUCGGGUCUAGUGGCGCACGGGUGCGUAACGCGUGGGAAUCUGCCCCUUGGUUCGGAAUAACAGUUAGAAAUGACUGCUAAUACCGGAUGAUGACUUCGGUCCAAAGAUUUAUCGCCAAGAGAUGAGCCCGCGUAAGAUUAGGUAGUUGGUGGGGUAAAGGCCUACCAAGCCGACGAUCUUUAGCUGGUCUGAGAGGAUGAUCAGCCACACUGGGACUGAGACACGGCCCAGACUCCUACGGGAGGCAGCAGUGGGGAAUAUUGGACAAUGGGCGAAAGCCUGAUCCAGCAAUGCCGCGUGAGUGAUGAAGGCCUUAGGGUUGUAAAGCUCUUUUACCAGGGAUGAUAAUGACAGUACCUGGAGAAUAAGCUCCGGCUAACUCCGUGCCAGCAGCCGCCGUAACAC